GCCUGGGUGGCUCAGUGGUUGAGCAUCUGCCUUUGGCUCAGGUCGUGAUGCCAGAGGCCUGGGAUCAAGUCCCACGUCAGGCU
rnacentral:tRNA from 1 species